rnacentral:rRNA from 1 species
UACGUAUGUCCCGAGCGUUAUCCGGAUUUACUGGGCGUAAAGCGUGCGCAGGCGGCCCGUUAAGACAGGUGUGAAAUCCCUGGGCUCAACCUAGGAAUUGCGCUUGUGACUGGCGGGCUCGAGUACGGUAGAGGGGGGUGGAAUUCCUGGUGUAGCAGUGAAAUGCGUAGAGAUCAGGAGGAACACCGAUGGCGAAGGCAGCCCCCUGGGCCUGUACUGACGCUCAUGCACGAAAGCGUGGGGAGCAAACAGG